rnacentral:lncRNA from 1 species
AAGAUGCGGUCCUAUCCUUAUUUUGGCGCGAGGGCCUCGACAGGGAUAGAAAGCAUCUCGUCGUUUUGCAAGAAUGGAUAUAGUUACAAUUACAUGUAUUGAAAAGAUGAGUACAUGGAAUUGGCUAACACUCACCACAAGCUACAUAGUCACAUGAGUAUAAUACAUAAAUCAUCAUGGUGAAGAGCAGGGUCCGACUACGGACGAAAACAAAUGAUAAAAUAACGACGUCCAUCCUUGCUAUCCUAGGCUGUCGUCCUAGAACCAUCCUAGGUCGAUGAUGAAGAAGAAGAAACUCCAAUUUAACAAUCAACACGCUCCCGUCAAGUAUCUCUUUAGUUGUACCUGCAACUAGUGUUGUAGUAAUCUGUGAGCACAGGGGACUGAGCAAUCUUAUUUCCAAAUGUAUCAAGACUAGCAAAGCUUAAUGGGUGAGGUAUGGUUAAGUGUUGAGGUUGCAACAAGCGACUAAGUAUAUAUUUGAGGUGGCUAACUUACGAGUACAAGAAUAAGAGGGGGAUGAACUACGCAUACCGGACGUGAACUACUAAUGAUCAAAUGAAUGAUCCUGAACAACUACUUACGUCAGACAUAACCCCACCGUGUCCUCGAUCGGAGAAGGAGCUCACGAAAGAGACAGUCACGGUUACGCACUCAGUUGGCAUAUUUUAAUUAAGCUUACUUCAACUUUUCUAGAACCGGAUGUUAAACAAAGUUUCCACGUUGCCACAUAACCGCGGGCACGGCUAUCAGGAACAUCGACUAGUAGACCUCCCGAGGAUGCCAAGAAAAUUAAAAAAACAUAUGGAAUAUCAGGCACUAGUCCUCCAAAAAAUUCCAACAAAAUAGGAGUUUUAAUUGGGUGCAUGAAGCGACGCUUCAAAACGUCUUGCAAAACAUGCCACACUUAGGGAGCUAUACGAUGCCACAUAAAGGGCUUAUAUCCAAAUUAAUAACAUGAGUGCCAUAGUCGAGCGUGUGAGGCGACACCACAUAAAAGGCUUAUAAUAACAUGAGUACCAAUGAGGUAGAACCCUCCCAGGGAUUCAUAUAAGAUACAAGCUUAGUCCAUAACGAUACUGAUAAUAAUAAUCAUCCGUCAUUGUUGGAUUUUGGGCUCCGCAAAACCCUAAAGAUUCGAACUCAGGGUCGUGUACGAAUAUCUCUCGCGGGCUCGCCUCACCUAACUUGCAACUCAUUGGGGAUGGCUGAGAACUCACUCGAUGGUGAGGGAGACACAGAAUACGGCAGUUUACCCAGGUUCGGGCCGCUGAGAAGCGUAAUACCCUACUCCUGCUUUGGUGGAUUUCCUCUUGUGGAGGUUGGCGUAUGAACUAGUACAGUGUUCUUGGCCUCCGGUGGCUGGGUGGCCUUUGUGUGGUGCGAGUGGGCGAAUGAAUGGAUGGACCGAUCGGGUCCCUCUCUACGAAGUAACCUGUCGUCUAUAUAUAUAGCGGCGGUCCGGGUCCUCUUCCCUUAUGGAAAGGGCGGGUGGGGAUCACACAACGACCAAUUUUGAGGGGGAACAGGGGAAGAUGCUCCCCCUGUUCAAAGGUGGUCUUCGCCUGCAAAGUGGUUGCCAGCACUGCGGGGACAGGUCCAGGGAUGACGUCUUCCCUGCUGGCGGGCGGCGAUGGCCUUGUUGCACCAAGGGAAACCUUUGGAAGAUGCAUUGGGAACACGCGUACGUCCUUCCCUCCUUUGAACGAAAGGGGAAAAAGCACCAUCCUACAAUCCGUUGCUCGCCUGUCCUUUCCCCGCGCCAUCCUUGACUCCUGAGGCCGGGUCUCGCCUUGAAAUAUCCGCCCUCUAGAAGGGUCCUGAGGAGGCCCCCUGCGGGGGUUGGUGCUGCUCCUCCUUGCAAGGCUUGGGCCCUCGUGAGGGCCUUGCCAUGAGUGGUGUCGUGCCUGGUUGUGCUUGCUCGAUGAAGUGAGGUAUGGUUAAGUGUUCAGGUUGCAACAAGCGACUAAGCAUAUAUUUGAGGUGGCUAACUUACGAGUACAAGUAUAAGAGGGGGAUGAACUACGCAUAGCGGACGUGAACUACUGAUGAUCAAAUGAAUGAUCCUGAACAACUACUUACGUCAGACAUAACCCCACCGUGUCCUCGAUUGGAGAAGGAGCUCACGGAAGAGACAGUCACGGUUAUGCACUCAGUUGGCAUACUUUAAUAAAGCUUACUUCAACUUUUCUCGAACCGGAUGUUAACGAAAGUUUCCACGUUGCCACAUAACCGCAGGCACGACUUUUCGAAAGAUUUAACCCUACAAGGGUUCUCCAACUAGUCCAUCACAAAUUACACCAAGCCACAUAGAAAUCAUCGAUCACGAAACUCGCGAUCUCGUCGGACUCCUUAGUGGAGAACCUCAACUCUGAGAUUACCCAAAGUUUCACCUGAAUCCCGAUGCACAAGAUAUUUCGUCAAAGGUAAAACUUAUCCAGCAAGUCCGCCAACGUGUCGACGAUCCUGAUAGGAGCCGUGUAUCUCAUUCUCAGGACACGAUGGAUGAGCUAGACAUCGGGUUGGCUAAACCCUGGGUUACCAGGGGGCGCCGAACAUCGCUCGGGUUGGACCAACACUCAUGCGGAGCACUGUCCCGGGGGUUUAUUAAAUUUCCUCGGGUUAAUUACUCCCUAUGUGGUUCAUUAGUUAUUAGGAAAAUGUAGUAUAAAAGUUGGGCCUUGCCAAACCACUCUUAAUCUAAAACGAAUUAUCAAGGGGGUCCACAUAACAACCCCGGUCGUGUUAGGAGCGCCCAAUUAUCGAAUAUAACACCGGUAGCCGAAACUAAGGCAACAAAGGUGGAACAAAGCACCAGGCUAGAAAGGUCGAGCCUUCCACAUUUUACCAAAUAUAUAGGCGCAUUAAAUUAAAUAGAAAUUAAUAGGGUGAUAUAACAAGGAACCCAUGUUAUCACAUGGAAGCAACUACACCUACAAAUAGCAACGCUAACACAUGGUUAAACAAGCGGUAACAUAGCCAAUCACUGGUUUGCUAGGUUGUGAUCAGGUUGAAGAUUUUCAUGGCAAUGUUGAGAGGCUGACAUUUAACACGUGGUGGGUAACGAGACAUAACGAAAGAAAUGAGACAACUAGCAUGGCAUUGAUAGUAAUGGUAUCUAGGGAAAUGAUCAUCUUGCUUGAGAUCCCGCUGAGAAGAAGAACGACUCCGUGAAGCAGACGAACCGACGUAGUCGAAUGGGUCCUCACAUUCCGACACGCUUGCGGAACUCUAUUGAGACGAAGCAAACCGGAAAAAAGAAUCAACACACGAUAUUCACCACACGAUGCACAACACAUAUGAUGCAUGAACGUUAUCAAUUAUGCACGGUAUGACAUGGCAAUUCACACAAUCAAACACUACACAGUAAGUGAAGUUCAAUAUGCAACGAGAUUUAUAUCGACGAAAAUCCACAUUUAAUUAUAUAGCGACGACCCGGGUCCUCUUCCCAUCACGCAAGGGCGGGAGGGGAUCCCACAACGGCCAAUUUUGAGGGGAACAGCGGAACAUGAUCCCCCUGUCCAAAGGUGGUCUUCGCCUGCAAAGUGGUUGCCAGCGCUACGGGGGCGGGUCUAGGGAUGACGUCUGCCCUACUGGCGGGCGGCGAUGGCAAUGUUGCAUCAGAAGGGAAACCUUUGGAAGAUGCCUUGGGAACCCGCGUACGUCCUUACAUCUUUUGCACGAAAGGGGAAACUGCACCAUCUUCCAAUCCGUUGCUCGCUUGUCCUUCCCCGCGUCAUACUUGACUCCUGAGGUCGGGUCUCGCGUCGAAAUAUCCGCCGCUCUGGAGGGGUCCUCGGGAGGCCCCCUACGGGUCUUGGUGCUGCUCCUCCUCGCUAGGUUCGGGCCCUCACGAGGGCCUUGCCCUGAGUGGUGUCGUGCCUGGUUGUGCUUGCUCGGUGAAGUUGGCCAGCCCUGGGCCACAGGCAGGCAGGUCUCGGUACCCCCAUUCCCAGAACGCCGACAAUCAUGAUUCAUGAUCAAUAUGCUGGUUUUCUUUAUUCCUCGAAAGAACGAAACUAAGACCGACACUUAACCAUUCCUAGAUAAUAGUCCUUAACCACGAACACUGCUAUUCGAAUUAAUUUUAUGCGCUACACAAGCUGUACUCUUUACCCACAAGUAAAGAAUUUCUUUAGUCAACCCGAGAUGUUGACUAAUUAUAAUUACGGUAUUUGAGUUGAAAACACACCUGACCCGCACACACCAGCUUAACUUCCCGAUGCCUGGAAUCACCCAAGAAAACCAUGAAGUAAAACUCUAAGUGGGGAGACUACAAUCACGAUUAGCAUGGGGUUUACCGGAGCAAGACUCGAACUACGGUCGAAUCAGUAGGUUUUAAAUUUUCCCUGGAAUGGUUAGUACAACAUAUUUACUCUGUAGUACCCAACACGGGCACCACCUAUCAUGCCCCAACAUGACUUCACUAAUCAUCCAUGUCACAACGUGAUAUCAGUUCCACGGUCACGUCUACCCAAGACAAAAACUUAUAUACCAUGCAAAAAAGUUGAGGGUUUUAAAAAAAUUCUUCUUUUUUUAUGAAUUUUUUAUAUUACAUACUAAAGUAUCCUACUUGAAAUUAGUUCUUACAUUAGUUAUGCCUAAUUGUUUCUCAAAAAGUAUUGCAAGAGAAUGUUCAAGACUUCACAAGAUAUAUUUGGUGAUUAGUUUGAUUCCUUGGGGAAUCUUGAUGUAUGAGAAGAAUCAAGAAUCGGUCAGAUGGCUAGAUACAUCAUAUUUAGAAAUAGUGUCGGGAAAUGGGCCCAUGACGAUCCAUGGGACCCUGGCGACCCCUUUUAUGGUUUUGGAGGGGGUCUAAGUGCACACACGGAAUCAGUUGGCAAGGUCACACACAAGGAGGUUUAUGCAGGUUUGCGCCGCUCGGAAGCGUAACACCAUACGUCUUGUUGGUGUCGAUUAAUUGGGUGGAAAUAAACAAGGAGCGCGGUGACCCGGCAAGGAUGCUCGAGGGCUCAUCUAUGCGUGUCAUUAAACAGAGUGUCAACCUUUGUAAAGGUAGGCAUGGACCUCCUUUUAUAGCACAAAGGGGUUACCAUAGUGGCUAUAACAGUUAUUUUACUAGGUGUGCAGUAUGCACUGCAACGCUGGGACUGCUUGCAAGAGUGGGUAGUGGGAAAUACCUAACUCUGAAGGACUUGGAUAGGCGCAUUAAAUGCGUCAUGAGGUGGCGCACGAACGGCGUCUCCCGGCAAGGAUUGCCUCUCUCUCUGUGCCGUCCACCGAGCUGCCUCUCUAUUCUGCUGCCAGGCUACAUGAUAGGUGUCACCACGACUGGGACACGCCAGCUAUUAUGGUCGCGUGCCCCAGCCAUCCCUGCCUUCCUGCCUGCCCGUUCGACACCUCGAAUGAUGUAGACAAUCAACCCCUGGUGAGGUGGAGCGGUGGCUUAGUGGGUUGUGGUCUUGUCGGACGGCAUGAGCGGACACGUGUAUAGGCCGGUGGGGGCCUUGCUGCCCGGUCUUGGCCUUGGUCUUUGUUUUUUUUGGGCUCGGGAUGAGCCCGACAAGGAGUUCCUAGCCUCGGGGCCGCUGUUGCCCGUGUCUAAGUUAGGGGAACUAAGGACCCACAUUCCUUAGUACACCGACGCAUAGAAAAACAAGAUUAGAUUAGAACUAUCCAGCAAGCAAGCUAGGAUCCAUCCCGAUGGAUGGAUUCUUGGAAAGAGACACACUCGAAGCUAGCUUACAUGUUCACGAACUACGACUCCAUGAUGCUACCUUCCGGUAUUCAGAAUCCAUUGAAUAGUUGUGCCACUAGAUAGAGAUCCUGAAGUUGGACACCCGUUUCGUGCUCAUGCUCGCGUCUAUGCUUGACGACGAGCCUCAUGGCGCCAGGGUAGCCGCUUCACAUGCAGCCACCCGAUGUCGAGCGCUCCCGGCCCUGCAGUGCCCUGCUCCUAGUCGGAGCAUGGAGCAAGCAUCGUCCACCAGCCAUCAUGGCAUGGAACAAGUGUAUGUCAUGUAUAUGGUUCUACGGGACAUUGGAUUGAUGCUAGCUACAUAUAUGUGUGGAUAUGACGUGGUGAAGAGAUAAGGCUAGAUAUUUUUCUUGGGUGUAGAGUGUGGUUUGAUGGAUUCAUGCCAUGUCAUCUAAGGCUUCAAUCUCUUCAGCCAUAAGAAUUCAGUACACACAUGUGUGCUUUAUUGCCAUUUUAUUUUCGCCCUUACACCAUCAAAAAACUAUGUGAAAACCUUCUCAAAUUUUUACUACAUAAUUACUGAGGUCAUAUCUUGACACCAUGCCAAUUUCUGUAUUUAUUAUACAUCGUUUACAUUUUCUAGAAUUAAAAUACCAAUAAACUUCAUGUUCACGAUUCAUUCUUUCCACAUAGAUAUUCCCUAAAUAUGAUUUUUCAACUCAUUUUUUAUACUAUUUUCUGUACUCGUAGUUCAAAUUUGACUAUAUUUGUUAGAUGACUAGAAAUGCAGUUAAUGACCCAAAUAUAGCAAAUGAUCUACGAAAAGUGCCAAAUUAUAAUAUGGAGGAUUCUAUACUGUAUCUCAACUUUAGAAAAAAAAUUAAGGUCAAGUGACAAAGGAAAAUAUAAGUUUGCCACCAACUUGGUGCAUUCAGUCUCGAAACCAUGAUCAUUCCUCAUAGGUUGUCUGAUUUCUAAAGGAUGUACAUAAAAAAUGUGAAACCUUUUCAAAUUUGUAUCACAUCAUCGUGAGGUCAUAUCAUGACACUAUGCCAAGUUUUGUAUUUUUCUGACUUCAUUUACAAUUUUUAUAACUUAAAACCCAAUAAACUCCAUGCUCGUGAUUAAUUCUUGCCACAUAUAUCUUAUAAAUUUAUUUUCAUUUGUUGUACGAGGCAUACAAAUAUACUCAAUACCCAAAAUAUGGUUUUUCAAAUCAUUUUUGUGUAUACCAUAAAUACUCAUAGUUCAAAUUUCAACCAUUAAAUGACUGGAAAUGCAGUUAAUGACUGAAAUAUAGCAAAUGAGGUGUGAAAAGCGCCAAAUUUGAACUUGGAGGAUUCUAGGGUGCAUAUCAAGUGUAGAAAGAAAAUCAAAAUCAAACGAUGAAGGAAAAUGUUAGUUCGCAUUCAAUCAUAUCGUAAAAACCAUUAUUCUUUCAAAAAAUAAUAAUUUCAGGCAUCACACAUUGUUCCAUUUAUGAAAGUGUGUGAGAUGACAAACUACAUCGCACACAUAAUGUAUGCAAAAAACAUGUGCAAGGCAACACACACAUUUGCAUUUUUAACACUAUGUGUAAUGAUAUGCUACAUCACACACAAUUUCGGCAAAAACUAUGUGCAUAUCACACACGAUUGCAUUAUAAUAGUUGUGUGCAAUGAUAGACUACAUCACACACACAUCAAUUGUAAAAAAACCUAUGCCCUCACACACUUCUACGUUUUGUCGAACCGUGUGCAAUAAUAGGAAACAUCACACACAAGUUCUAUAAAAAUUGUUUGUGCUACAUUGCACAUAAUUAUUAUUUUCUGAAAUGUGUGUGAUGUUAUGACAUCACACACACUUUUUGUGAUGUUACAUUGCACAUGCCACGAUGUACAUCGCAAAUAGUUUCGUCGAAGGGUCUGUGAUACAUGUGUUGUCUUUGGACUAUCCUAUAGUAGUGAGUGUUCAAGAUGCUUCGCUUGAUUAUGCAGAAUGGUGGGGUGCACUCCCAAAAACUUUGUAAUUAUUCUUCCCUCCAGUUUCCUAUUUUAAAUAUAUUGAGUGAAGACAUAAUUCUAAAAUAGUGCAGAAAAGUUGUUUGGUAAAUUUUGAAACAAAUUCUAAAAUAAACUAGAUGGAAUCUGAGGAAUGUUAGCAAAAGAAUCAUGUUAUUUGGAGUUGUGGUUUAAAAACUAGAGCUAGUCAAAAUUGGGUCAAAAUAUGAUUUUAAAUAAAACAUAUCUUCUAUUCUUAAAUAGCUAGAACCCAUUACCCAAUUAUCCUCUCCAUGCAACAAUACCACGUCAUCAAAUCAUGCAUGUAGUCAUAAGUUACUCUUUUCAUUAAUCUCUUCAUGCAAAACAUACACUCAUGCAUGAUUAUUUUUCUAGGUAAUAAAGCAAGACAUUUUUAUAAUGUUUUUACAUUAACGUUUGUUUUCUAACAUUUAUUCAUAUAUUUUAAAUAAGUUUUCCGCAUCAACGCGCGGGACAUCAUCUAUUAAUUGAAAAUGGUUCGAUCAAGGAUACACUUUCUAACAAAGAGAACAUACUAACGCAGAAUACAUAUCCACUUACAUCGACAUGGUGCAUCCUGGGUCGGUGACAGUGGGUCCCACAGACCACCAGUCAUGUUUGACUAGUCCACGCACGCGCCUUGUCCCUCUUGGCAGAACAGGGCAGGGCUCCGGUGAUCCCUGACAUUGAACAACGGUUCCCCACGGGACCCUGGGCCCAUGAAUGGAUCCAUGGGAGCCUGGUGGUCACCAUGGCUGGUGAAGUGGAUGAAGUGGUCGGAGGUGCCUUCUCCGACAGACGGCGGCAUUGGGUAAAAAGGGGCUUUUGUCCUUGGUCAGGUUUAAGUGGAAUUGACAAAUGGAAUGGGGUUGUAGUGGCUCGGGGAGAUGGUUAGCAGCAAAACGAGGUGGGGCGACAUUGGACGCUUCGGAUUUUAUAGAAGAGUAGCAGCGCAGGUGGUCACUAGAGAUGAGGAAGAUAACCACCCGUGGCUCGAUACGCUGCAUUAGAGGGUGUCUAGAGGGAGAAGGAGCGGUCCAUGUGGCUAGGGAGUACUCGGGGUGGCCUUUUUAGAGGACGAAGACAUCGGUUCCACAGUUUCCCAAACGUGGAUGCCAUGGCGAUCGCCAUUGAUGUCGAUUCGAGGUGCUUGGGGAGGUCGAUGGUGGCUGGUGUGUGGACGGUGGAUUAUGUGAGGCCGGUGGCUGACCGAAUUUAAUCCAGGGUAGUCUGGUUGUCUAGGGGCGAAUGGGCGGCGCCGGCCACGGCAAUUUAGGCGGUGGCCAGUGAUGGACAGGUGCGGUGCUCGCGAAGCCGAUGGUGGUCGGGUGGACGGUGACUUCCCUUAGUGAUGGCAGGGCAGGCUGGCUGGCUCGGGGAAAGCUACAUGUCCAGGGCGGCUCCGUCCACGGGCAGAUUCCGGCGGUGGCUCUAAUGGCAAGUUGUAGACGUGGCAGGUCAGUGCGAUGGACGAUGGGGGGGAGGUUGGGGUACUCUAGCAUGACGUGGUGACCCGAGCAGGCCAGGGCGAGCGGCGGAAAUGCAAUCAGUG